AGGAGACCCUAUCUCGGGCCGCCGCGCCUAGGCCCGUGGACAGCCUGCGGCAGGGGCAUGGCGGCCCCGAGCAGCGGCGUGCCUGCGAGUGGUUUCUGUAGCGGCGCUGAACCGGAACACCCCAGACGCUUUCUCUCGGUGAGAGGGUGAGCUGGUAGUCAGCCCAUUUCUCACACGCGGAAACUGAGGCCUGCGGAGAGGCGGCCCCGGACAGAGAUGAGGAAAGUCAGGAAGAUGCGAAUGAGGCCCAGAAAGUUUUGUGCUGAGAUUUGAAGAAGAAGAAAAAGAAGGCGGAAUGCUUACCCUGGGAGGGGAACGGCAGCGACAGAGCAAGUCUCAGGAAGGGCCUGGUGUGUGUGAGAGCAGGUGCACAAGUCAUCACCGGAAAACCUUUGGGAUACAGUAUACGAAGUGAGGAGCUGCCAGUGCUGGAAGGACGGGUCCCAGAAGGAGCUCGGAGGAUCCAGAGGAAUGACCAAGUUAUCUGCUGAGUCAGGGCCUUGUGGACUUUCGCGAGGAGGCACCACUACCAUUUCUGCGAGGAACUCUAGCUGGAAAAUGCAAGCUCUCAGCAGAGGAAAUGCAAUCUUCCCUUCUCUGGGCUAGAAGGGUGGUCGUGGUAGGCUGGGGGAAAUGAUGGCAUGGGCUCUCUCUGCAGAUCUGUUUUCUGAGUCCCUGAGCUGCAGCUGUUGAGUUUCCAGACACAAACAAGUACGUAUUCUGUGAGCCUCGCUGAGCCCACACAGCAAGGAAGAGCCAAGCUGGAUUCCAUUCUGCUUUGCACAUCAGCAGCCCUGCUGCCAGCUGAACUCCAGGGCAAACUCUGUGCCUGGUAAUGAUGCAGGCUCUAGAUAUGGCACAGCCGGACUGGUGUGGGUGGUUAAUGGGGACACACCUGGCCUUGAUUAUUUGGGGAAGAGUGAGAAAUGGAAGGAGAUGAAGGGUUGCAGGAACAUACAAUCAAUCUCAGUAGAGCUGGUUCACAGCAAGGACAGAUCUGGCUUUCCUGGUCGUCAUCAACAUGCCGGUGUGUGUGACUGUUUAUGCUUAGGUAAGCCUGGCCUCCCACUCACUAAAAGCCGGCAGUCAGGGAAAAGUGGUCAGCGGCCACCGUGUCCACGGCCACCAUGCAGAGUGUGCGCCACACAAAGACGACCAGCUGAGGGCACGAAUGUCAUUUCUUGAUGUUGUCUGUUCCUUUUCGCCCACUAUGACCAAGGACUGAGCUCCCUCUACACCAGACCAUAUGGAAGUCGAGCUGGGGGCUUUGUCUGACCAGGAAGAGAUGAGGUGACGUGGAGGGAAGAUGGGAUUUGGGAGGCUCUCAGGCAGGUUUCAGGUGGCUAGUGGGGAAGGUCAGGCUAUGUAAAAGGGCUGAUUGGGACAGUUGCAAUUUGCCUGGGUCAAAAGAGUUGUGAGCUGGGAAUGACAUUUGGUGUGGAGAGAAGGAGCUGAGGUCAUUGGGAUGAUGUUACUUAGAAACAGGUGCGGCAUUCCUCAGAUGCUAGGAGAAUCUUGUAUCUCUGCCUGGUCAGUAUGUAAAUGUGAGGAUGAGGACAUAUGCGGAGUGGAGUGGCACGGGCUUUCUCGAGAAUAACGUUUUGUUACCUCAGAGCUGGAAGUUUCCACUAGAGCAGUGGUUCUCAAAGUGCGGUCCCCAAACUAGCAGCCUCCAUGUCACCUGGCAACUUGUUAGAAAUGUGGAUUCUCAGGCCCCUGACCCGCUGAAUCGGAAACUCGGGGGUGGGGCGCAGCCAUCUGUGUUUCAAGCAGCCCUUUAGAUGACCCCAAUGCCCACUAAAGUUUGAGAACCGCUGGUCUAGAUUGUGCAGAUAAAGACUUGCCCGAAUGACCUGGAUUCAGCAGACGUGAGAACUCGGGGGAGGCCUCAGAGGUGCAGGCAAGGUGCCCGCUUCCCUGGCUGUG